rnacentral:tRNA from 2 species
GGUGGGGUUCCCGAGCGGCCAAAGGGAACAGACUGUAAAUCUGUCGGCGAAGCCUUCGGAGGUUCGAAUCCUCCCCCCACCA